UACAGAGGGUGCAAGCGUUGUUCGGAAUUACUGGGCGUAAAGGGCUCGUAGGCGGCCAACUAAGUCAGACGUGAAAUCCCUCGGCUUAACCGGGGAACUGCGUCUGAUACUGGAUGGCUUGAGUUUGGGAGAGGGAUGCGGAAUUCCAGGUGUAGCGGUGAAAAUGCGUAGAUAUCUGGAGGAACACCGGUGGCGAAGGCAGCUCGCUGGGACGUUACUGACGCUGAGACGCGAAAGCCAGGGGAGCGAACGGG
rnacentral:rRNA from 1 species